rnacentral:rRNA from 1 species
UACAGGGGGGGCAAGCGUUGUUCGGAAUUACUGGGCGUAAAGGGCUCGUAGGUGGCCGACUAAGUCAGACGUGAAAUCCCUCAGCUUAACUGGGGAACUGCGUCUGAUACUGGAUGGCUUGAGUUUGGGAGAGGGAUGCGGAAUUCCAGGUGUAGCGGUGAAAUGCGUAGAUAUCUGGAGGAACACCGGUGGCGAAGGCGGGUCUCUGGGCCGAUACUGACGCUGAGGAGCGAAAGCGUGGGGAGCAAACAGG